UUUGCAAGAAGGUUAACAAUACUCAUUAUUACCAGAUUCAGACAAGUCUAUGCUCUAGUUGGUACUUCAACUAACAGAUAUAUUUCCUUAAGAAAAACAAACACUUUUUGCUCUUUAUUUUACCUUUUACUUAUUUUUGUGUGUCCAUCCACCUUAGUUGAUAUAGUUUCCUCCAACUAUACACCCAUCCUAUUAGCAAGCACAUAAGAUCCUCACUGAUUCAAGUGCAAUCCACCACUCCUAUAAAGAGUAGACAGCCACUAUAGUCAGUCUUAACCCUGCAAUGUAAACAUUGUAUUCUCUAAAAAUGUUUUACACUGCACUCAGACUACUUUGUUUAGAUUAAAAUGUUCUAGGUUCCUAUAUUGCCUUUUCAAUCAAAUUAUUGUUUUCGUGUGCUCACUAGUGGGGUAUACCACUUGACUGUUGACUGAAACAAAAUCUUCCUCCAACACUGUCACUCCUGACUCUGCUAACAUCAGAUGGACAAGACUGUUUAGAUGUAAAAAAUAAGAAUUGGCUAAAUUCUUUAGCUCCCCACCCACCUCUCCAGAAAACCUAUCUGACUCUAAUGCACUACAUACCCCUACUGGUUAUGUCUGCACCACUAGAUGUCCCUACUAAACUAUAAACAGCAAACCCCUUUCAAGAUAGUGAGUCCUAAUUGUGAAUCUGAGCUUUCAGAGAAGUCACUCACUUAAAUUUGCUACAGAGGUAUGGACCCUAGAACAGCUUAUCCAAGCAUGAAGCAUACUUCAAUCUACUAACUAAGUUCUCAUCAUUGAUCCAGAAUCAAUAACAUGCACAGAUAAUUAAAAACAAACAAACAUAAUUUACUGCAAUUCUUUCAUUUUCCAUGUUGUCUCUUAAGUCUUGUGUGAUCAAAC